UAAGGAGCACCAUUUCCCAGUCGAAUGAACUAGGGAACAUAAAGUGGGCAUCUGUAGUGGAUAUCUACUUGGUGAAUAUGUUUUGUAAAUCCUGUCCACCCCGUGGAUGGGUAGUCGGCAAAACGUCGGACUGUCAUAAGAAUUGAAACGCUGGCAC
rnacentral:misc_RNA from 1 species